rnacentral:rRNA from 1 species
CCUACGGGUGACAGCAGGGGGGAAUAUUGCACAAUGGGGGAAACCCUGAUGCAGCGACGCCGCGUGAGUGAAGAAGUAUCUCGGUACGUAAAGCUCUAUCAGCAGGGAAGAAAAUGACGGUACCUGACUAAGAAGCCCCGGCGAAAGAAGUGCAAGCAGCCGCGGUAAUACGUAGGGGGCAAGCGUUAUCCGGAUUUACUGGGUGUAAAGGGAGAGUAGACGGCAGCACAAGUCUGGAGUGAAAUAUCGGGGCUUAACCCCGGAACUGCUUUGGAAACUGUGCGGCUGGAGUGCAGGAGGGGUAAGCGGAAUUCCUAGUGUAGCGGUGAAAUGCGUAGAUAUUAGGAGGAACACCGAUGGCGAAGGCGGCUUACUGGACUGUAACUGACGUUGAGGCUCGAAAGCGUGGGGAGCAAACAGGAUUAGAUACCCCAGUAGUC